AUUGAACGCUGGCGGCAGGCCUAACACAUGCAAGUCGAACGGUAACAGGAAGCAGCUUGCCGCUUUGCUGACGAGUGGCGGACGGGUGAGUAAUGUCUGGGAAACUGCCCGAUGGAGGGGGAUAACUACUGGAAACGGUAGCUAAUACCGCAUAACGUCGCAAGACCAAAGAGGGGGACCUUAGGGCCUCUUGCCAUCGGAUGUGCCCAGAUGGGAUUAGCUAGUAGGUGGGGUAACGGCUCACCUAGGCGACGAUCCCUAGCUGGUCUGAGAGGAUGACCAGCCACAAUGGAACUGAGACACGGUCCAGACUCCUACGGGAGGCAGCAGUGGGGAAUAUUGCACAAUGGGCGCAAGCCUGAUGAAGCCAUGCCGCGUGUAUGAAGAAGGCCUUCGGGUUGUAAAGUACUUUCAGCGGGGAGGAAGGGAGUAAAGUUAAUACCUUUGCUCAUUGACGUUACCCGCAGAAGAAGCACCGGAUAAAUCCG
rnacentral:rRNA from 1 species